AUACGGAGGGUGCAAGCGUUACUCGGAAUCACUGGGCGUAAAGCGCGCGCAGGCGGUCUUUUAAGUUGGAUGUGAAAGCCUACGGCUCAACCGUAGAACUGCAUCCAAAACUAUUAGACUAGAGUGUGGGAGAGGAAGAUGGAAUUAGUUGUGUAGGGGUAAAAUCCGUAGAGAUAACUAGGAAUACCAAAAGCGAAGGCAAUCUUCUGGAACACUACUGACGCUGAGGCGCGAAAGCGAGGGGAGCAAACAGGAUUAGAAACCCUAGUAGUCC
rnacentral:rRNA from 1 species